rnacentral:rRNA from 1 species
GAUGAACGCUAGCUACAGGCUUAACACAUGCAAGUCGAGGGGAAACGACAUUGAAGCUUGCUUCGAUGGUCGUCGACCGGCGCACGGGUGAGUAACGCGUAUCCAACCUGCCUCUGACCAAGGGAUAACCCGUCGAAAGUCGGCCUAAUACCUUAUGCAGUCGUCGGAAGUCAUCUGAUGACGACGAAAGAUUUCAUCGGUGAGAGAUGGGGAUGCGUCUGAUUAGCUUGUUGGCGGGGUAACGACCCACCAAGGCAACGAUCAGUAGGGGUUCUGAGAGGAAGGUCCCCCACAUUGGAACUGAGACACGGUCCAAACUCCUACGGGAGGCAGCAGUGAGGAAUAUUGGUCAAUGGGCGAGAGCCUGAACCAGCCAAGUAGCGUGCAGGAUGACGGCCCUAUGGGUUGUAAACUGCUUUUAUGCGGGGAUAAAGUGAGGGACGUGUCCUUCAUUGCAGGUACCGCAUGAAUAAGGACCGGCUAAUUCCGUG